UACGGAGGGGGCGAGCGUUAUUCGGAAUUAUUGGGCGUAAAGGGCAGGUAGGCGGCUUCGUGUGUCUUCUGUGAAAGCCCUCGGCUUAACCGAGGAAUUGCAGAGGAAACUGCGGAGCUUGAGUACGGGAGAGGAGAGUGGAAUUCCCAGUGUAGCGGUGAAAUGCGUAGAUAUUGGGAGGAACACCGGUGGCGAAGGCGGCUCUCUGGACCGUUACUGACGCUGAGCUGCGAAAGCUAGGGGAGCAAACGGG
rnacentral:rRNA from 1 species